UUUAAUUACAUGAGAGAGGAAAUCUUUUCAGAAAAUAUCAUUUGAUGCAGUUUUUGGCAACGAUCUUACUUAGAAUGCAGUUUUCUGCAACGAUCUUAUUUAGAGUAGUGAAUAUCUAAUAGCAUUGUGAAGUUCUUCAAAUAUUGAGCUAAAUAGGUAUUGUUGAGGAAGAUCCUAACUGGAGCCCAGAAUGACUUAGAGAAAGUGACCAAGACGACCUGUGCCCAAGUUGCAGUCUAUGGUUUCGGAGAUAAGGUGGGGUCUUCUUUCUUUUCCUCAAAGGGAUGAUGCAUUUAAGAUGACUAAAACCUGCAGCAGCAAGACUGGUUAGCUCGAUAUUUGACAGAGAAGUUACAGGAUGGAUGGCUAAGGUUUACAACAGUACUGAUUAGCUGAUAGUGGAGCACAAAGAGGCACGUAUCCGAGAUUGCAAAACUGUUUGUUUGAAAAGGAGGUCUUUCAUCAAGGUGACUUGUGAGUAUUAGGAGAGCGACCAUUGAAGUCAAAAACGCCCACAGAUUAUGAUAGGUUUAGGCAAGGGUUCCAAGAAAAUAAUGAGGCUAAGGGAACUACAAGGAACGGAUCCAGGGAACUCAACAGUGCAGCUUCAUCCCGCCUGCCCUCAAGGAGUGGACUCCUUUUUCCAGCGUGUGUGUGAAGGCAUAGGUGAUCACGCUGCCCACGUGCAUUUCUUGUUACACUACAUGACAUGUUAAGGUCCCUAAAAAGUGAUUGGUGUGGUCAUUAAAUUACUCUUAAAUCAAACUCAACCGUACUGACUACAGAGAAUAUGUGGAGAGCAAAUAUGUGGUGCAGGCAUAUAAUUCCAUGCAUAAAGGUCUCUGUCACACAAAAUGGGGCCCUAAAAGGCGAAGCUGUGAUUUUCUGUACAACCCAACAAAACUCACACUGCUUGUAAUCCUAUUUCGUCCUGGCCUCCAAUUUUAGAAUACUUCAGUCUUCAUUGCAUGAUAAUGUAUCCUACUCAUCAGGGGAGGGGAGGCUGCAAAUGAAGUUGAGGACAGGUGGGUGUGUGUGAAGCUGAGUGGAUUUUUGAUGCAAUGUAAAUGUCUCUUUGGGUCAUUGAAUCUGACCACAUUAAUCUCUAUUUUUGUUUUCUUUCUUUCUUUCUUUCUUUUUUUAAUAUUAUCUGAUUUUUUUAAUAUUGGGUUUUUAAUGAGGGAGAAUUAUGUUUAGGACUCUUUUUUU